AGCGAACCUGCGGCAGGCCUAACACAUGCAAGUCAACGGACCCUUCGGGUAGUGGCGGACGGGUGAGUAACACGUGGGAACGUCCUUUAGGUCGGAAUAGCUCCUGGAAACGGUGUAAUCCGAAUGUGCCCUUCGGGGGAAAGAUUUAUCGCCUGAGCGGCCCGCGUUGAUUAGCUAGUUGGUGAGGUAACGGCUCACCAAGGCGACGAUCGUAGCUGGUCUGAGAGGAUGACCAGCCACACUGGGACUGAGACACGGCCCAGACUCCUACGGGAGGCAGCAGUGGGGAAUCUUGCGCAAUGGGCGAAGCCUGACGCAGCCAUGCCGCGUGAAUGAUGAAGGUCCUAGGAUUGUAAAAUCUUUUCACCGGUGACGAUAAUGACGGUACCCGGAGAAGAAGCCCCGGCUAACUUC
rnacentral:rRNA from 1 species